CUUAGUGGCGAACGGGUGAGUAACGCGUAGACAACCUACCUUCUAGAUGGGGACAACACUGCGAAAGUGGUGCUAAUACCGAAUGUUGUAUUUUGAAUGCAUAUUUAAGAUACUAAAGGUGGCCUCUAUUUAUAAGCUACCACUAGAAGAUGGGUCUGCGUCUGAUUAGCUAGUUGGUGAGGUAAUGGCUCACCAAGGCGACGAUCAGUAGCCGGUCUGAGAGGAUGAACGGCCACACUGGGACUGAGACACGGCCCAGACUCCUACGGGAGGCAGCAGUGGGGAAUCUUCCGCAAUGGACGAAAGUCUGACGGAGCAACGCCGCGUGAGUGAAGAAGGUUUUCGGAUCGUAAAACUCUGUUUUCAGGGACGAAUGUGCAAUAUGUGAAUAAUGUGUUGUAAUGACGGUACCUGACAAGAAAGCCACGGCUAACUACGUGCCAGCAGCCGCGGUAAUACGUAGGUGGCAAGCGUUGUCCGGAAUUAUUGGGCGUAAAGCGCGCGCAGGUGGGAUAAUAAGUCUGAUGUUAAAGUUCGGGGCUCAACCCCGUGAAGCAUUUGGAUACUGUUAUUCUUGAGUGCAGGAGAGGAAAGUGGAAUUCCUAGUGUAGCGGUGAAAUGCGUAGAUAUUAGGAGGAACACCAGUGGCGAAGGCGACUUUCUGGACUGUGUCUGACACUGAGGCGCGAAACCAGGGUAGUGAACGGGAUUAGAUACCCGGUAUCCUGGCCGUAACGAUGGGUACUAGGUGUUGGGG
rnacentral:rRNA from 1 species